rnacentral:rRNA from 1 species
UACGGGGGGGGCAAGCGUUGUUCGGAAUUACUGGGCGUAAAGGGUUUGUAGGUGGCCAACUAAGUCAGACGUGAAAUCCCCAGGCUCAACUUGGGAACUGCGUCUGAUACUGGAUGGCUUGAAUUCGGGAGAGGGAUGCAGAAUUCCAGGUGUAGCGGUGAAAUGCGUAGAUAUCUGGAGGAAUACCGGUGGCGAAGGCGGCAUCCUGGACCGAGAUUGACACUGAUGAGCGAAAGCCAGGGGAGCAAACGGG